CACUAGUCAAAGUACCAUUUCUAUUUCCUCGAUGUCCUCGAUUGUGACAAUGACCGCUAAUAAAGUCGGUAACCUUUAACAUGGAAUUGUCAACAGCGUUGAUUGAAGUAAGGCCAGUAUUAUGGGUUAAAAGUGUUGAUACAUACAAAGACAGAAAUGCUACGAAGGAAGCUUGGAAUGAAGUUUGUUUGGGGCUGAAAGAAGAUUUCAAAACAUUGAAAGACUCAGAAAGAAAUGUAUUGGAAAAGAAGUUCUAAAAAUAUGGAGAAAUAUCAGAGACGCUUACGCUAGAACUCCUAGAAAAAUAAAUAAAAUCAAAACGAGCAGAACUGUGUCAUUCUUUACGAGCAAAUACUUGUAUGCUGAACAACUGCAGUUUUUGUCUAAACUGCACUGUGAGCGUGAGACACCAGACAGCCUAGACAGUGACAAAUCCCCCCCUGCCGACCAGGAACCCUCCGGAUUAUAAACAAAUGAUCAGGAAGCUGCAUGUUUUAAGAAGCCA